ensembl:lncRNA
GGUGUGGGCUCAUUUUCUGUAAUUGAUCACCAACAACUCUUUCCCUAUCUGCUGCAAGGCCCUAGAGUCGCUGUGUGAUGAGAUCUCCCUUUCUACUCUAGUGGAAGUCUCCUGGAGGGAUCCAUAUGGUGAAAUUGCUUUUGCAAUUGAAACGGCCUAGGCAGCAAGAGGAACAGCUUCUCACAGCCUUGGAGAAAAUGCCUGCCUUUAAUAAUGAUGGAAAAGACUCUUCGGCUUCCAAUUUAUUUGCCAAAAAAUCUGUCUUCAGUUCAUGAACCGUGACAUUUCCCCCGGGGAACACUAUGUUCAGAAGGAGCUGCUGGAACAGGGAAGGCAAUCAGCGAAGGGCAGCAGCUGUGGCCCUGCCGAGUGGAGUUUGUGGCGCAGACCAGGACUGCCCAGAGCACUAAGGUCCACCUCCAGUGCUGGCCCGAGUGAGAGCAGAAACUGCUUCCCUGGGACAAUCUGCCUACUGUGCAGGAGGAGCAGGCCAUAUGUGUGGCUGGAAAAGAAACCCAGGACUAAUUAAGAUGAAGAGCUGCUUUCCUCCUCUAGCUCUCAGCCACCCUUGCACUUCAAUUAGGCCAAUCACACUCUAACUUCUUUUCAAAGAACCGACUUUUUCCUGGAUUCAGUCUGUCUUAUGAACAGUACUGGCCAGACUGUCAUCCUUGCUCACUCAUCCUGCCAUUAAUGGAAGAGUUUUCUAAAGGUGGGCAUUGCAUUCACUCAUCACUACCUUUGUCCUCAGCUCACCCUUGCCCUCAAGCUCAAUAAUUCUGCAUUAAAAGCAUCUGAUCCUCGAGAUCUCUUUUUUCUACAGAAUCAUUCCAAACCCUCCCUUUUUUACAAUUCUUUGAAUGAAAGAAAUGGUAAAGGCCUUCUAGCUUUCUAGAUGAAGAUUGCAUUGACUUAACAAAGGAAGAGUAAAUGUUCCUGUCUGAGUUUGUGAGAUUUUAUUGUGCAUCUUAUUCUUUUAGCAUUGGAAUGUUGAUGCCCUGCUCAUGCUGUCAACCAAGAGGCCGUGCCACACAUCCCUAUGUGGAUUCCAAAGGGUAUCGGAACAUGAGAGGCAGGUGCUAGCAAAUUCAAAGACAGAUAGAUAUACAACAUACUUCCUGGAGUUUGGCAGUAAGCAGCCCGGACUGGAGUCACCAGACUUGCACUCUAGUCUCUCACUGCAUCUAACCACUGUGACGCGGCGAGGCCAUUUAACGUUGGUGGCCUCAGUUGCAUAAUUUCUCAAAUGAGGGCCUUAAAAUGGGCUUAGAACGGAAGGUUUAUUCCAGCUUCAACAUUCUGAGGAUCUCAUUCAAUAAAAUUGGAAAAAGAACCAGAGCAUAUUAAAUUUUACUUACAUGCAAUGAACAAAGCUGUAA